CCCCUGGUGGUUCAGUGGUUAAAACUCUGCACUUCCACUGCAGAAGGCAUGGGUUUGAUCCCUGGUUGGGGGA
rnacentral:tRNA from 1 species